GUGGUAUCGAUUUGAGGAAGAACACCGAAGCAGUCAACUGGAGUCAAACCCCUUCCCCCAUUUCCUCUCCGUCCUCCUCUCGCCCCCCUCUCCGCGCCGCGCCACGCCACGCCAUGGAUCCCGCCGACGACGACGGCCAGCACCUCGAAGGUACGCACCCGCCCGCAGGCCGCUCAUCUUCACCCGCCCCGGACACAGACGACGGCGGCAGCGGGUGGGGGAGCGACAAGCCGCCGACGCGCGCGGAGGAGGGGCGCAUCGCCGGGAAGGCCACCAUGGAACCCUCGCCGUCGCCGGAGUCCGCCAUCUCCGACGACGGACGCCCCCAAGUCGUCCUCUCCUCUCCGCCGGGCCCAGAAGACGGCGGCAGCGACGAUCUGACGCGCGCCGUGUCCCAGCUGACGCUCGCGGAGGCGGGGCUCACCGCCGGGAAGGCCGGGUCCGCCCCCCGCGUCGUGGAUCCCUCGCCGCCAGCCUCCACCGUCUCCUCCCAUGCUCACCAAGAUGACGACGAUGUCGCCGGCGUGAACAAGCGGACGCACGCGAGGUUCCUCGUCACCCACGCCGAGGCCGGGCUCAUCAUCGGGGCGGGCGGGUCCGCCGUCGCCGCAGUCGAGGCCCGCUCCGGCGCCCGGGUCAGGCUCUCCCGCCACGACGAGCUCCUCCCCGGCACCGACCGCAGGGUUGUGCUCGUCUCCGGCCUCCUCAGCCAGGUCAUGGAUGCCAUGGAGCUACUGCUCGAGAGGCUCCUUCACCAGGGUGGCCCGGCGUCCGACUCCGAGGCCACGGUAGUGCUUGUGGUGCCUCAGCCCUGCUGCGGCACGCUGAUCGGCAAAGGAGGAUCUGUUAUCAAGUCAUUCACUGAAGCUUCGGAAACUGCAAUUCAGGUCUCACCACAGAACGUCUCCUAUGGCUUCAAUGACAGGCUGAUCACUAUCACAGGACCCUUGGACAAUCGAUUGCGAGCAGUGUUUCUGAUAAUAUUUGAGCUCCUAGAGGACAUUCGUUAUUCUUUUGUACAUGCAGCUGCUACGCCAGACACUCCAAUGAGAUCACCUGUUAACAAGGACGCCCAAGAAUCUCUCACUAUUGCUGUUGCUGAUGAGUAUAUGGGUGCUGUUAUUGGUCGUGGUGGAAGGAUUAUCAAUGAGAUCAGCAAGUGCCCGGGAAUCUUGUGUUUUGACCAAUUUCUCUAGAGGUGUUACGUCCUUCUAGAUGAGUUGUGUUGAGGAAAGCUGUUUUGUUUGGGUUACUGUCAUCUUGUCCUAGAUGCGGUGCUUAACUAAAGCAAGUCACUUGCAGCAAGAAGCGGGUAGUAGUUUUCCUUACUUGUGAAUAUGGGUUUUCUAUGUAAGCUUGCACCAAUUGGAAGGAACUAAAGAAACUGAAGUACUGGACUACCGUGUGUCACGCGUACAAGGCAGAAAGUUAGUUUGUCAUAUGAUGGGUGGGGUUUGUUUGGACUAUGAGGUGAAGCCUGGCAUAAGGAAGAACCUGUUAAAAGUUGUUGGUGUUAGCUAAAGCUCCCCAACAGAGCAUGUGCACUAGGAACAUGCGUGCCUGGUGCAGUUAGCGGAGCAUGGAUCGACAUCUCAGGCAAGGGGGAGUUCAUACCCGGGACUCGCGACAGGGAGGUGACUAUGAGCGGCACGUCAGAGGCGAUCCGCGCAGCCGAGGCGAUGAUCAUGCACCGCGUCUCCGUGGCCAGCGGCGAGGGCGGCAACUUCACGUGGCGGAGGGUGGAGGGCAGAAGCGGCAAGGGUCUGCUUACCAGGCUGGAUGAGGAGUAGGAUGCAGUCAUGCAGAUGCAUCUGCUGAACUUGAGUGAGGAGAGUGUGACACAGUAGGUAGUAGAUCGGACAUAGUAGACAGACAAGACAAACACAUCACAGGAGGGUAUGGAACCAGUAGAGUUUUGCGUCUCUGGUAGAGUGGCGAUUAAUCAAAUCAAUCGCUAGUUCAAUGGAUUAGUCAGGUAAAUGGAUGGGAUCAGUGAUGAUGGGAUGGCUAGGUUCUGCUGGUCAAUGCUGUUUGACCAAUUUUGCUUGUUAACAUUGGUCACAUUGGGAUCUUGGGGUUUGAAACAAUCUUAUCUCCCUUGACUUGA